rnacentral:rRNA from 1 species
UACGUAGGUGGCAAGCGUUAUCCGGAAUUAUUGGGCGUAAAGAGCGCGCAGGUGGUUGAUUAAGUCUGAUGUGAAAGCCCACGGCUUAACCGUGGAGGGUCAUUGGAAACUGGUCGACUUGAGUGCAGAAGAGGGAAGUGGAAUUCCAUGUGUAGCGGUGAAAUGCGUAGAGAUAUGGAGGAACACCAGUUGCGAAGGCGGCUCUCUGGACUGUAACUGACACUGAGGCACGAAAGCGUGGGGAGCAAACAGGAUUAGGA